rnacentral:rRNA from 2 species
AACGUAGGGGGCCAGCGUUGCUCGGAAUUACUGGGCGUAAAGGGUCCGUAGGCGGUGUGGCAAGUCGGAAGUGAAAUCUCUGGGCUUAACCCAGAGGCUGCUCCCGAAACUGCCGUGCUAGAGGGUGAGAGAGGCAAGUGGAAUUGCGGGUGUAGCGGUGAAAUGCGUAGAUAUCCGCAGGAACAUCCGAGGCGAAAGCGGCUUGCUGGAUCACUUCUGACGCUGAGGGACGAAAGCUAGGGGAGCAAACAGG